ensembl:snRNA U6 U6 spliceosomal RNA
GUGCUCGGUUCACGGCACAUGUGCUAAAAUGGAACAAUACUGAGAUGGGCAAGGAGCUGGCACAAGGAUGGUGUGCAAAUUCAUGAAGAGUUCCAGAGUUUU